GGUUUGGUAGUUCAGUUGGUUAGAAUGCCUGCCUGUCACGCAGGAGGUCGCGGGUUCGAGUCCCGUCCAGACCGCAA
rnacentral:tRNA from 2 species